GUUUUUUCGUAACUGGCAGUAGUAAUCUGGCGGUUGACACUCUCAUUGCCUGUAUAGGCUGAUGGCCCACUCACCUUUUUAGCUGGGCUCCUGACCUGUCCGGCCAGAAAGUUGCCAUUGGGAAACCUGGACCCCUACUGAAUGGAUCUGCUGGCACCUAGACCUCAGAGAAAGGGGAACUGAAGACUGAAGUCUGACCACUGUUCUUUGUUGAAAAUUUCUUUCUCAGGGGCUUGGAGGGAUCACAUCUACAAUCCUGAGCUAAUAUUCUCUUAUGCUGUCCCCAAAAUUUAAACGAAGCUUCUCUUUCUUAACCCAUUGCAAAUGAGAAAAAUCUUGAAUCUCCCUAUGACUGUAAGCCCUUAUUUCAAGAUAUCCCGCCUUUUUAGGCCAAAACCAAAGUGUAACCUCCAUCUAUUGAUUUACAAUUUUGCCUGUAACUUUGGCUUUCCUGAAAUUUACCCCAGCCUUAAAAAAAAAAAAGAACAGAAAAAGAAAACUGCAAGGCAUCAGGGAGGUCAGAAUUUGGGCAUGAGCUGCCUGAUCCUCCUUGCUUUGCAUCUUUGCAAAUAGAUGCCUUCAGCUGUGCAUGAUGGCUCACACCUCUCAUCCCAGCACUUUGGGAGGCCAAGGCGGGAGGAUUGCUCCAUCCCAGGAGUUCGAGAUCAGGGGCAAAAUGCCGAAACCCUGUCUCUACAAAAAAUUUAAAAAUUAGCUGGGCAUGAUGGUGCACUUCUGUAGUCCCAGCUACUUGGGAGGCUGAGGCAGGGGGAUUCCUUGAGCCCAAGAGGUUGAGGCUACAGUGAGCCAUCAUCGUGCCACUGCACUCCAGCCUGGGAAACAGAAUGAGACCCUGUCUCAAAACAAAACAUUUGAAAAAUAACAAGUUCAGGUGCAGUGGCUCAUACCUGUAAUCCCAGCACUUUGGGAGGCCAAAGUGGUCGGAUCACUUGAGGCCAGUAGUUCAUGACCAGCCUGGCCAACAUGGCAAAACCCCAUCUCUACUAAAAAUACAAAAAUUAGCUGGGUGUGGUGGCUGGCAACUGUAGUCCCAGCUACUCCGGAGGCUGAGGCAGGAAAAUCACUUGAACCCAGGAGGCGGAGGUUGAAGUGAGCCGAGAUCACACCACUGCACUCCAGCCUGGGCAACAGAGCAAGACUCCGUCUCCAAAAAUAACAAAAAAUAAACACAUGCCUUCCUUCCUACUGCUGCACAACCUCACUGUGUCAGGCAGGCAUCUCUGGAUCCAGCUGGUUUUUGUUUUGCUGAGGCUCGGCUUCUUCCUGGAACUUUUUGAAACAACACUCAAGGGUCUCAAAUGGCUGACAUGAUGGUCUGUGACCUGAAAGUUGUUGAAUAGUUGGAGUGUUCUGCAUUCAUGUGGAAGAGGCUAAAGGAUGUUUGAUGAAGCACUAUGGGCUGCCCUGGAAGAGGACUGAAGAAGCAGCUGCAGAAUCAAGGUCUCUGUUGCCCAGGCUAGAGGGCAGUGGUGCAAUCACAGCUCACUGCAGCCUCAACAUCCCAGGCUCAGGAAAGAAACGUCCACUCUGCUCCAGUCAACCCCACUGCUGGUGUCCUCUGCACUGCCUUGCACUCCCUGAAGAGAGCCUGGGCAACAGAGCGAGACUCCAUCUCAAAAAAAAAAAAAAAAAAAAAAAAAAAAUUGGGGACUAUGUAUAUAGAUUUACUACACUGAAGCCCUCCAGCAGUCUAAGAACUGAUGCCUCUAACGAAGGAAAGGACUGCAUGUUUCUGAUGAAGCUACCAUGACCUACCAGAUUUCCAACGCCUGCCAAAAUUAAUCUAUUUGUCUGUGGUAGAAGAGGCCAUACCAUUGUGGCCCUUGAAACUUACUGUAUGAUGUUUUAUUUAGUGAACAGUUCACAUACCCAAAUGGUUGUAACUGAUACUGCUGAAUAUAUUGUAAGAACAGAAGUGUUAAGUAUGUAUAACACUUCUUUUGAUUGUAAGGAAUGUUCCCAGUGGGGAAAUGCCAUAAUUAAAACAGUGAUCGUGGGAUGAAU
rnacentral:lncRNA from 1 species